AUACGAUCACAUGAACAGUCAUUUUAACUAAUUGUUAAAUACUUUCAUCCUCUAAUUAUUUUAAUUUUCGGUUUCAUAACGAUUAUAAACAUUUUGCUUAUAACCCUAUAACACAUUUUUCAAAACUACUCAUAACCUACCGAGUUCGAGACUCCUAGAACAAUUAGGAGUUCUAGCGGUAAUUUCAAUUACAAGUACGUGAUCAAGUAGGAGUGUUGCUACAAUUGAACCAUCUACAAGCUGUCAACAUCAUCACCACUUAUCCUCUUUAUCAACUCAAUCAAAUUGAUUAACAACACCAAAAACACCAAUAAUUUCUGGGUUUUGACUUGAUAAUCACAUGAACUUUCUCCUUAAACAAAACAAAAUUCCUCUAAAAAACCCCACUAGUUUACAUUUUCUCUCUCCUCACCCACCACCCCACCAAGCACCAGCUAGUUAGUUGCCCACCCUUUUCCCACUUUUUGCUCUCUUAUUUUUAAUCUUCAAUUCCCACCAAAUUUUCCCCAAUUUUUUCUGGGAUUUGAAGUAAAAAAUAUGUUUGAUUUUGGGGAUGAUUUUGUACUAGAAAACUUCAAAAUCCCAUGGCUUAUUUGGAUUCAAAUAUUGGUUAUGUUUCUUCUAACCCUCACAAUUUUGCUCUCUUACUUUGAUAUUUUUGUUCUUGAUUCUUCAUCUACAAGCAGUUCUUCGGAUUUGAAGGUUUCUUCCAGCUGUUCUCCAAGUACCCAGCAGGUAGCUGGAAAUCAUGAUUCCAGGAGGGAAAUUACUACCACGCCUAGCAACAGAGUGAGGUGUGUCGGGGAAAGGGAUUCUUCUGUGAAGGAUUUACCUUCUGCCACAGUUUCAAAACGUUUCUUCCACCCAUGCCGUUAUUUUGAUUUUGCAAAAGAAGCUUUCCUGAAAUGUCUAGGUUUGGGUUCAGGAUCUCACAAGUCUCUUGACGAAGAAGAUGAACAUGACGACUGAUGCAUGUAGAUCUGUCACGAUCACUUUUGAUGUUCAUGUAGUUGUAGUCUCUCAUGAAUGCUAUAGAUGUUCAAGAUGAAAAUCAGGAAAGUAUCUUUUCACAACCGCAAUUAUUCUGGUGGGAAUUGCUCCUUUGCAUAGCAACUUAGCUGUACAGACCGGAGGGAGAGGACGAGUGCAUAAUCUGCAUAUGCUAUUGACAAAAUGUAUAAAAUUGGUGUCUUAACAUCUAUUUAUAGAAUUAUAGUUGGAGUUUUGACAGGGUCACAGACUGACAGGAUGUGUUAGAGAAUUUAUCGUCUGACCAAAUUUCAGAUGAUUGAUUUUGUAAUUUCACAAAGAAUUACUUCAGGCUUAGUUUUUUUUUUCUUUUUUUCCUGUGAUAAUAGGAGUGUAAAAAUGUUGGAAACUGUGAAUAUCUAAUUUCUUAUAAUGUUGUUUGCUGCAAAUCUGAAUUGUUCCCUGCUGGUUUCCCUUGUACAAUAUUUUGAUUGAGGUUAAUGUUGAUUUGCAUUCAUCA